rnacentral:rRNA from 1 species
UACGAAGGGGGCUAGCGUUGUUCGGAUUUACUGGGCGUAAAGCGCACGUAGGCGGAUCGUUAAGUCAGGGGUGAAAUCCUGGAGCUCAACUCCAGAACUGCCUUCGAUACUGGGAAUCUUGAGUCCGGAAGAGGUGAGUGGAACUGCGAGUGUAGAGGUGAAAUUCGUAGAUAUUCGCAAGAACACCAGUGGCGAAGGCGGCUCACUGGUCCGGUACUGACGCUGAGGUGCGAAAGCGUGGGGAGCAAACAGG